CACACAGCACAGAGAAACAGCAUGAAUAAUAUACUCCUGAGUUUCUCUGUCACAUUUAUGUGGCUCACAGCUUCCACUCUUGGUAACAUUGUUGACCAGACUCCUCCUAAAUCAAUAAAGGAGCAAAAUGAAUCUGCUGUGUUUGUAUGUAGACACGACAUAACAAGUUAUUUCCAAAUUAGGUGGUACAAACAGAUCCAGGGCACCCUGGGACUUAAACUAAUGGGAUUCCUUGACGGAGAAACUGGCAACAAAGAGACAGAAUUUACCAACAAGAUUAUUCUGAAGGGAAAUGGAAGGCGAAAUGGCACUCUGACUAUCACAGACCUCACACCGAAUGACAGUGCUGUGUAUUUCUGUGCAGCAUAUGACACACUGCUCUAAACUUCCUCUGUCUAAUACAAAAACCUGGCACAGUUACACUAUUGGGUUAUCAACAAAAGACACAGGCUAAGCUUUCUAUUUGUGGCUUAACUCAACUUGGCAUUCUUUGAAAUAAUGAGCAAUAAUGUGAUGGUUGCAAAAGAAAAUAUCCUUUGUAUUAUGAUUUUGGAUUAGUAUAGCCUAUUAUUAUGGGUGCUUAGACUGCUUACUAAAGGACACAUCACUGUUACUCACACUUUACUUUAUUACUUAACUGAAUUUGAACAAACCCCUAAACCUAUGUUAAAUGAAGUUGUUGGAACAUAAAAUGUCGGAAGGAGCUUGUUCAUCUAAUCCUAUUAACUUUUUUCAAGGUAUCUAAGCAGUAGCUUGAUCUUGGUUGAUCUCAAAAUAAGCUUUCAGGACAGCAUGCCAAAUCUUUUAUGCCUUUUUCUCUAUGAUUAUGUAUACAGGUGCUGGUC